rnacentral:lncRNA from 13 species
GUAUUAAUGGGUUAUCAUGGGACUGGGUUAGUCAUCAGGAGAGUGGGUCUGUUAUAAAAGCCAGUUUGACACACUCUCGCCCUCUCACCACGUGAUUCCUUCCACCACGUUAUGACACAGCAAGAAGGCCCUCACCAGAUGCAGCCCCUUAACCUUGGACUUCCCAGACUUCAGAGCUGUAAGACAUGUCUGCUCCUGUGUCACCUUCCACGGUGAGUAAAAGCUCCCUGAGGCCUCCCCAGAAGCCGAGCAGAUGCUGGUACUAUGCUUCCUGUACAGCCUGCAGAAACGAAAAAAACAAUGGAUCCAAGGGGAGCGUUAUGUCAUGUCUACUCUCCAUCCUACUCAGAGCCCCAAGGGUGCCGCUGGGCCUGGGUCAAGCACCAUGAACCACACUCUCGUUCAGAUCCCUGGUCUGCUACUCAUCAACAGUGGCCCCAAGAAUUUUGGCCAACUUCUCUGUGCCUCAAUUUUCUCAUCUGUACAAUGGGAAAAUAAUACUAUCUGCCUCGAAGAAUUGCUGUGAGGAUCAAAUGGGCAAAAAUGUCUGUUAAGUACUGAGAAUAGUGCCUGGCAUAUAAGAAGCGCUAAAUAAAUAAAUGUCAUUCACUGGGCCA